rnacentral:rRNA from 1 species
CAGCGCCACGAGUGGCAACCAUGUUUAUUGGGCCUAAAGCGUUCGUAGCCGGCUUUGUAAAUCUUCUGUGAAAUCGUCUCGCUUAACGAAACGACGUGCAAGAGACACUGCAAGGCUUGAGACCGGGAGGAGCUAGAAGUAUUCUUGGGGGAGCGGUAAAAUGUUAUAAUCCCUUGAAGACUACCUGUGGCGAAGGCGUCUAGCUAGAACGGUGCUGACGGUGAGGGACGAAAGCCAGGGGAGCGAUCCGGAUUAGAUACCCGAGUAGUCC